CCCCUAGAUGUUCUGGGCCGCACGCGCGCUACACUGAACAGUUCAACAAGUCUUAACCUUGGCCGAUAGGUCUGGGUAAUCUUUGAACGCUGUUCGUGAUUGGGAUAGACCUUUGCAAUUAUGGGUCUUCAACGAGGAAUUCCUAGUAAACGCAAGUCAUCAGCUUGCAUUGAUUACGUCCCUGCCCUUUGUACACACCGCCCGUCGCACCUACCGAUUGAAUGGUCCGGUGAAAUCUCGGGACGGCGGCUUGGUCGCUUGCGUCCGACUGCUGAAUCUUGAUUAAACCAUAUCAUUUAGAGGAAGGUGAAGUCGUAACA
rnacentral:rRNA from 1 species